rnacentral:tRNA from 1 species
GGUGAUGUAGCUCAGCUGGUCAGAGCGUUGCACUCAUAAUGCAGAGGUCGUCGGUUCGAGCCCGACCAUCACUACCA